AUUGAACGCUGGCGGCAGGCCUAACACAUGCAAGUCGAACGAGUGGGGACGGGUGAGUAACACGUGGGUAACCUCCCAUCAGAGGGGAUAACAGUUGGAAACAGGUGCUAAACCGAUACUGAUGGAUGGACACGCGGUGCAUUAGCUAGUUGGUGAGGUAACGGCUCACCAGGGCCACGAUGCAUAGCCGACCGGAGAGGGUGAUCGCACACACUGGGGCGGGGACAGGGCCCAGACGCCUACGGGAUGCAGCAGUAGGGAAUCUUCGGCAAUGGACGAAAGUCUGACCGAGCAACGCCGCGUGAGUGAAGAAGGUUUUCGGAUCGUAAGACUCUGUUGUUAGAGAAGCGGUAUCUAUCCAGAAAGCCACGGCUAACUACGUGCCAGCAGCCGCGGUAAUUC
rnacentral:rRNA from 1 species